GUGCUCACCCCGACAGCACAUAUACUAAAAUUGGAAUGGUCAGACAAGAUUAGCAUUGCCCCUGAGCAAAGAUGACAUACAAAUUUGUAAAGUAUUGACUCUUUUA